rnacentral:rRNA from 1 species
UACGGAGGGUGCAAGCGUUAUCCGGAUUCACUGGGUUUAAAGGGUGCGUAGGUGGGUUGGUAAGUCAGUGGUGAAAUCCCCGAGCUUAACCUGGGAACUGCAUUUGUGACUGCAUGGCUGGAGUGCGGCAGAGGGGGAUGGAAUUCCGCGUGUAGCAGUGAAAUGCGUAGAUAUGCGGAGGAACACCGAUGGCGAAGGCAAUCCCCUGGGCCUGCACUGACGCUCAUGCACGAAAGCGUGGGGAGCAAACAGG